rnacentral:rRNA from 1 species
UUAGGUUACCCCUGCCCGGUGACCUCAGUUUAACGGCCGCAGUACCCUGACUGUGCUAAGGUAGCAUAAUCAGUUGGCUUUUAAUUGGAGUCUGGUAUGAACGGGGCCACGGGGACAAGCUGUUUCAACCUUGCUCUCUCAAACUUAUUUAAAGGGUGCAAAACCCCUUGAGUAGACAAUAGACGAGAAGACCCUUAGAAUCUUCAUAAUAUUACGGCGGGUUUAAGGCUGUUUUUCAUUUUUGUUGGGGCAACAAGGGAACAGAUCAAAAACUUCCCCUUUUUAAUCUAUUACAAGCCGAAAUUUGUAAGUAUGAAAAGGUUACCUAAGGGAUAACAGCAUAAUUUUUUUAUAAGAUUGUGACCUCGAUGUUGGACUAGGAACCGAAGGGCUAGCCGCUCAUUAGGCAGGUUCUGUUCGAACCA